rnacentral:rRNA from 1 species
GAUGAACGCUGGCGGCGUGCCUAAUACAUGCAAGUCGAGCGAUGCGGGGACGGGUGAGUAACACGUGGAUAACCUCCUCUACGACUGGGAUAACUUCGGGAAACCGGAGCUAAACCGGAUAUUUAUAGGUGGAUCCUGGCUGCAUGAGCUAGUUGGUAAGGUAACGGCUUAGAAAGGCAACGAUGCAUCGCCGACCCGAGAGGGUGAUCGGCCACAUUGGAACUGAGACACGGGCCAGACUCCUACGGGAGGCAGCAGUAGGGAAUCUUCCGCAAUGGGCGAAAGCCUGACGGAGCAACGCCGCGUGAGUGAAGAAGGUCUUCGGAUCGUAAAACUCUGUUAUUAGGGAAGCGGUACCUAAUCAGAAAGCCACGGCUAACUACGUGCCAGCAGCCGCGGUAAUUC